GUAGUUGCAACUUAUUUUGAUCUCUUUGGUUUUCUAAGUGAAGUCGAUCACUUCAUUGACCCGUUUGGUUGUCUAAGUGAUAACACAAUCCACCCGUGAACAACACGACUCCACCACCAACUUCGAAGACCACAACCAACAACCCAUCGACCACCUUCUCUCCAUCCUACUCCUCUCCCACCAAAUCCGUCCCGCCAUCACCGACUCCAAAUCCUACAAACUCGAGUGCACCGAAGUCGGUAAACUCAUCGACCACCUCUCCACAAUGCUCCGCUCCUUCGUCCGGUUCACCACCACCACCUAGUCCGCCGCGUCUUCUCUGACCUCACCCGUGCCCUCACCCUCGUACGGAAAUGCCGCCGGAGAAGCAUCUUCCUCCGUGUUGUCACCAUCACACAUGACCACAUGGGCUUUCCAGGCUGUUGGGCUUGCUAAAUUGUUGCUGGACAAAGUGUAUUGCGGGCUGGAGCAUUUGGAUAAAAGAAGUUGGAUAAUGGGUCAAAGACUUUAGGGCAUUUUUGCUGAUGUAUAAAGGUGUGAGACCCUACACUUUACAAAGUGUUUUUGGAUCAGAUAUCUUUCACACAAAAACACAUCCUGGUUCUUUAUGACUCAUCUAUUCGUCUUCUAGAUUUAGGUUUUCGAUAACUUUGUAAGUUUGAUCUUCGAUCCUGUUAGGAGAGUUGCAAAUCGUCGUGUUGAUGAUCAACUUAGAUUAAGAGUUAUAUUGUUCAUCAAGAGUGUUUGUAUCUUAUCUUUCUGGUAUUAAAAUCGUUAUUUGGUUU
rnacentral:lncRNA from 1 species